rnacentral:rRNA from 1 species
UCUAGAGUUUGAUCAUGGCUCAGGACGAACGCUGACGGCGUGCCUAAUACAUGCAAGUCGAGCGGACAGAAGGGAGCUUGCUCCCGGAUGUUAGCGGCGGACGGGUGAGUAACACGUGGGUAACCUGCCUGUAAGACUGGGAUAACUCCGGGAAACCGGAGCUAAUACCGGAUAGUUCCUUGAACCGCAUGGUUCAAGGAUGAAAGACGGUUUCGGCUGUCACUUACAGAUGGACCCGCGGCGCAUUAGCUAGUUGGUGGGGUAAUGGCUCACCAAGGCGACGAUGCGUAGCCGACCUGAGAGGGUGAUCGGCCACACUGGGACUGAGACACGGCCCAGACUCCUACGGGAGGCAGCAGUAGGGAAUCUUCCGCAAUGGACGAAAGUCUGACGGAGCAACGCCGCGUGAGUGAUGAAGGUUUUCGGAUCGUAAAGCUCUGUUGUUAGGGAAGAACAAGUGCGAGAGUAGCUGCUCGCACCUUGACGGUACCUAACCAGAAAGCCACGGCUAACUACGUGCCAGCAGCCGCGGUAAUACGUAGGUGGCAAGCGUUGUCCGGAAUUAUUGGGCGUAAAGGGCUCGCAGGCGGUUUCUUAAGUCUGAUGUGAAAGCCCCCGGCUCAACCGGGGAGGGUCAUUGGAAACUGGGAAACUUGAGUGCAGAAGAGGAGAGUGGAAUUCCACGUGUAGCGGUGAAAUGCGUAGAGAUGUGGAGGAACACCAGUGGCGAAGGCGACUCUCUGGUCUGUAACUGACGCUGAGGAGCGAAAGCGUGGGGAGCGAACAGGAUUAGAUACCCUGGUAGUCCACGCCGUAAACGAUGAGUGCUAAGUGUUAGGGGGUUUCCGCCCCUUAGUGCUGCAGCUAACGCAUUAAGCACUCCGCCUGGGGGAGUACGGUCGCAAGACUGAAACUCAAAGGAAUUGACGGGGGCCCGCACAAGCGGUGGAGCAUGUGGUUUAAUUCGAAGCAACGCGAAGAACCUUACCAGGUCUUGACAUCCUCUGACAACCCUAGAGAUAGGGCUUUCCCUUCGGGGACAGAGUGACAGGUGGUGCAUGGUUGUCGUCAGCUCGUGUCGUGAGAUGUUGGGUUAAGUCCCGCAACGAGCGCAACCCUUGAUCUUAGUUGCCAGCAUUUAGUUGGGCACUCUAAGGUGACUGCCGGUGACAAACCGGAGGAAGGUGGGGAUGACGUCAAAUCAUCAUGCCCCUUAUGACCUGGGCUACACACGUGCUACAAUGGACAGAACAAAGGGCUGCGAGACCGCAAGGUUUAGCCAAUCCCAUAAAUCUGUUCUCAGUUCGGAUCGCAGUCUGCAACUCGACUGCGUGAAGCUGGAAUCGCUAGUAAUCGCGGAUCAGCAUGCCGCGGUGAACACGUUCCCGGGCCUUGUACACACCGCCCGUCACAC